rnacentral:rRNA from 1 species
GACGAACGCUGGCGGCGUGCUUAACACAUGCAAGUCGUGCGGUAAGGCCCUUUCGGGGGUACACGAGCGGCGAACGGGUGAGUAACACGUGAGCAACCUGCCCUUCACUUUGGGAUAACUGCCGGAGCGGUGGCUAAUACCGGAUAUGACUUCCUCACGCAUGUGGGGUGGUGGAAAGCCUUCGGGUGGUGGGGGAUGGGCUCGCGGUCUAUCAGCUUGUUGGUGGGGUGAUGGCCUACCAAGGCUUCGACGGGUAGCCGGCCUGAGAGGGUGACCGGCCACACUGGGACUGAGACACGGCCCAGACUCCUACGGGAGGCAGCAGUGGGGAAUAUUGGACAAUGGGCGAAAGCCUGAUCCAGCAACGCCGCGUGAGGGAUGACGGCCUUCGGGUUGGAAACCUCUUUCGCCUGCGACGAAGCGAGAGUGACGGUAGCAGGUAAAGAAGCACCGGCCAACUACGUGC